GUAGGUGGCAAGCGUUGUCCGGAAUUAUUGGGCGUAAAGCGCGCGCAGGCGGUUCUUUAAGUCUGAUGUGAAAGCCCACGGCUCAACCGUGGAGGGUCAUUGGAAACUGGAGAACUUGAGUACAGAAGAGGAAAGCGGAAUUCCACGUGUAGCGGUAAAAUGCGUAGAGAUGUGGAGGAACACCAGUGGCGAAGGCGGCUUUUCUGGUCUGUAACUGACGCUGAGGCGCGAAAGCGUGGGGAGCAAACAGGGAUUAGAUACCCUGGUAGUCCACGCCGUAAACGAUGAGUGCUAAGUGUUAGGGGGGUUUCCGCCCCCUUAGUGCUGCAGCUAACGCAUUAAGCACUCCGCCUGGGGAGUACGGCCGCAAGGCUG
rnacentral:rRNA from 1 species